ACAGUACAGCAUUGUACAAUGUUCAAAUAUUUAUAGGAUUAAGAUGGGCAUGCGUGUCAUUAGCUAGUUGGCGGGGUAACGGCCCACCAAGGCGACGAUGACUAGGGGAUCUGAGAGGAUGACCCCCCACACUGGUACUGAGACACGGACCAGACUCCUACGGGAGGCAGCAGUAAGGAAUAUUGGUCAAUGGAGGCAACUCUGAACCAGCCAUGCCGCGUGCAGGAAGACAGCCCUCUGGGUCGUAAACUGCUUUUAUUCGGGAAUAAACCACAUUACGUGUAAUGUGCUGAAUGUACCGAAGGAAUAAGGAUCGGCUAACUCCGUGCCAGCAGCCGCGGUAAUACGGAGGAUCCAAGCGUUAUCCGGAUUUAUUGGGUUUAAAGGGUGCGUAGGCGGCUUAUUAAGUCAGGGGUGAAAGACGGUGGCUCAACCAUCGCAGUGCCUUUGAUACUGAUGAGCUUGAAUACACUAGAGGUAGGCGGAAUGUGACAAGUAGCGGUGAAAUGCAUAGAUAUGUCACAGAACACCGAUUGCGAAGGCAGCUUACUAUGGUGUGAUUGACGCUGAGGCACGAAAGCGUGGGGAUCAAACAGGAUUAGAUACCCUGGUAGUCCACGCCCUAAACGAUGAAUACUCGCUGUUAGCGAUAUACAGUUAGCGGCUAAGCGAAAGCGUUAAGUAUUCCACCUGGGGAGUACGCCCGCAAGGGUGAAACUCAAAGGAAUUGACGGGGGCCCGCACAAGCGGAGGAGCAUGUGGUUUAAUUCGAUGAUACGCGAGGAACCUUACCCGGGCUUGAAAGUUAGUGAAUCAUUUAGAGAUAGAUGAGUCCGCAAGGACACGAAACUAGGUGCUGCAUGGCUGUCGUCAGCUCGUGCCGUGAGGUGUUGGGUUAAGUCCCGCAACGAGCGCAACCCCUAUGUUUAGUUGCCAGCACGUUAUGGUGGGGACUCUAAACAGACUGCCUGUGCAAACAGAGAGGAAGGAGGGGACGACGUCAAGUCAUCAUGGCCCUUACGUCCGGGGCUACACACGUGCUACAAUGGAUGGUACAGAGGGCAGCAAGCUGGCAACAGCAAGCGAAUCUCAAAAAGCCAUUCACAGUUCGGAUAGAGGUCUGCAACUCGACCUCUUGAAGUUGGAUUCGCUAGUAAUCGCGUAUCCGCAAUGACGCGGUGAAUACGUUCCCGGGCCUUGUACACACCGCCCGUCAAGCCAUGGAAGUUGGGGGUACCUAAAGUAUGUAACCGCAAGGAGCGUCCUAGGGUAAAACCGAUAACUGGGGCUAAGUCGUAACAAGGUA
rnacentral:rRNA from 1 species